GGUCGAAAACGACCCUAAGUCACAAAUUGAAAAAUUCUAGAGAGCGAUAACAACCGUGACAGAAAUUUUUUCUUUAAGGAUUUCUCGUAAUAUUCCACAAAAAUUUCAUGAGCCAUUAAAAAUAAUUCAAUUGGGAAAAUAUUAUUCAUGAUUUCUCAGAGAAGUUCUCGCAAAUCUAUCUGUAUUUUACACAGAUAAUUAUUUUUUUAGAUUUAUCUCAAAUUAAGGAGCAAAAUCUCGUAUUCCUCCAAAAUUCUUUCGAAAAUAUUUAUUUUCUUUUUUUUUUUUCAAAAAGCCUAACAAAGAAAUGUUUUGAGAAUAAUAACAUUUCUAUAAAGUUCCAAGCGGAAUACGUUAAAUUGUUCUUUCAAGAACACUUAUAUGAAACUUUCAAAAACUCUUAUAUGAACGUACUGAGAAAAAAAAGCUUGUGCACAAUAAUGUGUGUGCGAUGCUCGACUUAAAAAUAGGUUCCUUUGAUUGUGUUGUUUUCGCUGCACUGUGAGCAGCUGUUAUUUGUUACAUUGUACAUUUGUACAAUGCCAUUGUGGGAAAGAAUUGUUUGGCAUCGGUUUGUAUCAGCAUCAUCCACAGCAAUACUGGAAAAUUGACGGUUCUCACUGAUCAAAGCUCAAUAUGAUGGAUACUAGCACAUCACCCUUGCUCUUUAACCUAUUUCAACUAAAAUGAGUUGAACCAAUAUCCAGUUUCAGCCGUAGAAUCUCUACAAACUACAUUCCUCGAUUGCAGUACUACGAAAUGUUCUCCUACAACCCUCCUUCCUACGAACAACAUUUCUCGGCAACCCUCGGUCGGAAAUAAUAUACCUGCGCGUUGUAAGAAACCGCUUUAUUGUACAAUCCUGCUCUAUACUUCUGUUUAGUCGUCUUCAUAUGAUUGAAAUUGUCGGCAGAUAGUAGUUUUAUUUAGGAAACAAGAUUUCAUCAUACAAGUUUGGAAAAGCUCGAUUGUAGCUUUCGACAACAAAAACACUAGGUGCCAGGAGUAGCACUGGCAAUUAAAUGGGACUCAACUGAAUGAUUAUGGACACAGAGAUCGAGUGGCUCAUCCAAGAUCUGUGCACCAAGCGUGUAAUGGGUGUUGUGAGGUGUGUAUUGGACUUAAUGUUGUUGAAGUCAUAUCCCUCUCGUAGUAUGAUGUUGGUAGCACUGUCAUUAGCAGUUAGCAUCAUGGUCGAGCGACAUUGUUUGAGCGUCACACCGGACGUGGCCAUCAGCUCAGACAGGCUUCGCCACAAGUGCACCAGCAACGCUCGGGAAAGAUUAAAACCAAUCAUUCUACGGAGGCCGUUGAUCGGGAAAAUGUCAGCGGAAGGAAGAUACGUUCGGGUCGACCACCACCG